rnacentral:rRNA from 1 species
AAUACGGAGGGUGCAAGCGUUAUCCGGAAUCAUUGGGUUUAAAGGGUCCGCAGGCGGAUGUAUAAGUCAGUGGUGAAAUCCUGCAGCUUAACUGCAGAACUGCCAUUGAUACUGUACAUCUUGAAUUCGGUCGAAGUGGGCGGAAUGUGUAGUGUAGCGGUGAAAUGCAUAGAUAUUACACAGAACACCGAUAGCGAAGGCAGCUCACUAGGCCUGGAUUGACGCUCAGGGACGAAAGCGUGGGGAUCAAACAGGAUUAGAUACCCUGGUAGUCCACGCUGUAAACGAUGAUUACUCGUUUUCGGCGAUAUACAGUCGGAGACUAAGCGAAAGUGAUAAGUAAUCCACCUGGGGAGUACGAUCGCAAGGUUGAAACUCAAAGGAAUUGACGGGGGCCCGCACAAGUGGUGGAGCAUGUGGUUUAAUUCGAUGAUACGCGAGGAACCUUACCAGGGCUUAAAUGCAGAGCGAAUAGUUUGGAAACAGACUAGCCUUCGGGCGAUCUGCAAGGUGCUGCAUGGCUGUCGUCAGCUCGUGCCGUGAGGUGUUGGGUUAAGUCCCGCAACGAGCGCAACCCCUAUCUUUAGUUGCCAGCGAGUAAUGUCGGGGACUCUAAAGAAACUGCCUACGCAAGUAGAGAGGAAGGCGGGGACGACGUCAAGUCAUCACGGCCCUUACGUCCUGGGCCACACACGUGCUACAAUGGUCGGUACAGAGGGCAGCUACCGGGUGACCGGAUGCGAAUCUCUAAAGCCGAUCUCAGUUCGGAUUGGAGUCUGCAACUCGACUCUAUGAAGCUGGAAUCGCUAGUAAUCGCGCAUCAGCCAUGGCGCGGUGAAUACGUUCCCGGGCCUUGUACACACCGCCCGUCAAGCCAUGGAAGCUGGGGGUACCUGAAGUCGGUAACCGUAAGGAGCUGCCUAGGGUAAAACUAGU